GCCCUGGUGGCACAACUGGAUAGCGCGUCCCCCUCCUAAGGGGAAGGUUGCAGGUUCGACCCCUGCCCAGGGCACCA
rnacentral:tRNA from 1 species